GACUGGGGUGGUACACCUUUCAAAGGGUAAUGCAGAUGUCCUAAGGAGAGCUCAAGGAAGACAGAAACCUCCUGUGCAGCAGAAGAGCAAAAGCUCAUUUGAUUUUGAUUUUCAGUACAAAUACAGACCAUGAAAGCCAGU
rfam:Loxodonta africana unplaced genomic scaffold scaffold_63, whole genome shotgun sequence.